GUGUUGUAUGAACAGAGAGAAGGCUAACAUUCCCCUGGACAAGGAUGGAAGAGGCCCUUGGGCCUAACAACAUGCAUACGGUUAAGGCAUUGCCACCUACUUCGUGGUAUCUAAACAUCAUUUUUC
ensembl:snRNA